UACCAGCACCCCGAGUGGUCGGGACGUUUAUUGGGCCUAAAGCAUCCCGUAGCCGGUUCUACAAGUCUUCCGUUAAAUCCACCUGCUCAACAGAUGGGCUGCGGAAGAUACUAUGGAGCUAGGAGGCGGGAGAGGCAAGCGGUACUCGAUGGGUAGGGGUAAAUCCGUUGAUCCAUUGAAGACCACCAGUGGCGAAGGCGGCUGCCA
rnacentral:rRNA from 1 species